CAACAGAGAGGCAGAAGGAUCCAGGCUGAGGUGAUGAGAGUAACAGGAGGAAAAGCUGCAUGCCAAUAAAUCUAUUUGAGUCGUCUUUAUUAGUCCAGGGGAUAGAGAAUAAAAAGCCCAGACUGGGGCAGGAGAGUAGAGAAAGAGACACAGCGAUAAGAGGUGAUGCUGAGACAGUUGGUCUGUAAUUCACAUUUUUGACAUAGAUGGCAGACUCUUCAAGGUGCCUGAGGAAGACUACGUAAAGGAAAAGGUGUCUGGGAAAUAUAGAAGGAUGAAGAGCCAGCCCACGAAGACACAGAUGAAAUGGUCAGAUAUGUAACACUAUGAAAUUUGAACAUUGUCAUAUGGACUCACAUGUGAAAAGGUUAGAGGAAAUCACAGCAAGAAGCUGACCACUUACAAGCCAAGGAGAGGGGCCUCAAGAGACUGUAACCUUGUAGAAACAUUAAUCUAGAAUUUCUACCAUCCAGAAUUGUAAGACUACCUACCAUUCAAGCUGUCCCAUUUGAGGUAAUUAUUAUAGCAUCCUUAGCAAGCACAAGGUGUUAAAUAAUGCAUCUUUAAAAUGGCACCAUAUUGUUGCAGAGUUGGGCUCCCAUCUCUCUUUCUCUGACAGAAAUAGGAGCCUCCUCACAUAUCCAUGUCUCUCACCCUUCUAUGACCCCACUGAUUCUCACAAAAGGGAUUUGGCCAAGGUACAGAAAUGCAAGCAGCCACAGCAGAGUUGCAAGAGGAAGAUAGGAAAUCCAGCUGGAAGGGACCAUUCUUCAGAUGGCAUGUUCCUCGUAGGUACACAGUGUCUGAGAAGUCUUAAGACAGAAAGGACCCUGGCCCUGGGACUUUCUGCCCCAGAAAACUGGCAUCUUCAUUAAGGAGCAGUGUCAUUUCUUAUGAGUCUUGUUGAUUUAUGUACAACCAAGUGGCAACUGAUUACUGUUAUGGAGUAAUAUAAAAGGAACAUCUACAAGCUAAAUAAUCCCUACCUGAUUUGUAUUUCUAAAACAAAAACUUGAAGUAUGUGGUUCUCUUACAACAGUAUCCUGUAUAACACCCAAAAUUUCCAACACUCAUCUAAACAAGUAUACCUUCUUGGAUAUCAAUGCUCAAAUACCAUCAGAACAAAUUCAAAAUCUACUUAGGCCAAUCUGCUCAAGAAAUUCCCGUAUGGUUUUUUCUCAAGGGUGUAGGACUCCGGAAUGAGAAUGUUCUUGCAUUGUUUUGAGGUUCCUGGUGUUGUUCCAAUACGACUGGCACCUAGCAAGGCUUUUUCCUAAGAAGGUACAGCACAAUACCUCCAAAUGCCUGUAUGCCCAAUAUGUAUGGAGAAAGUCUAAAACACAGAAGGGUUUUAGCAGCUAGGCCCUGGCCUCAAAAAAAAUGAAGAGGUGGAUUUUAUCUCAUGGGUUUCUGACUCUGAAUCUUCAUAGUUGAUACUAUCCAAACCUUCUAUUGAAAAGUUCUUCCCUUACCCAUGGUUACUUGUGAUGAUAUUUUUACCUAGAUUCACUCAAACUAUGUGUUUCCCACAGAUGAAUCUAUCCAGAUGCCAACAGCCUAUCUGCAACCAGCAGACUGAGUGUACUUUCCAUGCACCUGGGACCGGAGCCAUCCUAACAGGUCCCUAAAUUCAAUUCGAAGAAGACCAUUGUCUUAGACCUCAGUUUUUCAUUCUACAAUCACUUCAAAUGGUCUUUCUGUGUACCUGAAAAUAACAGGGACAAACCUGGCCCUUGGUAAAUGUUGUCUCCAUGAUCAAAGCUAAUCACCAGUCAGCCUGGUGAACAAGAAGCUGCCAACUCACAGGUGGACUGCCUUCCCAAACUGCAGGAGUCCCAGGACUGAAAAUACCACUGAGCUCAAGAAAUAUCUAAAAUACCUGCAAUGUCUAAAUGGCCUCUCCUUAACAGGCUUCAAAGGAAGCCUCCAAGAGAACCAAUCUAAAUCUCACAAUGCUAAGAUAUGACAGUAAACACUGUGAUUUCACAAGUCAACAUCCCUUGAUAGCCUCUAACCUACUAAUUGGCCUCAGAAAUCUUAAGGGCCCACUGCAUGACCACUGUAGAAAGGGCAAAAUGGAGGGAGGAUGAGGAGGGAAAUCAAGGAGCUGGGAAACAUGGCCCAGGCCUUUGAGAACCUUCCAUAAUCGCCUCAGCCCAUUUACCAACAGGAGCUCCAGGAGACACCCAGUGUUAGAAUGAUUUAAUGCAUUUUUUCCUUUGGCUAACACAGUGAGCAUAAUAAACCCCUUGUCUCCCAGGAGCACACACAAAACAACAGCCCAAGAUGUAAGACUUAACUCCUAUGCAGGCAGAGCAUUGCCCAUGCGAGCUGAGAAGCAUUCUCAAGUGACAAAUUGUAAGGUGUCAAGGGUAGAGAGGAAGGAGACUAAACCAACCCAGAUGUUUCUUCCAAGGACGUCAGACAGCUAGACAUUUGUAUGGUACAAAACAAGCAGUCACAGCCACAAGGACAGUAACAGCCUUUGGGGAUAUUGAUGGAACAUGUUAGACACAGCGGUCUCAACAGACGGUCAAAUAUAAGAUCUCUGAAACUUGGCUUCUGUGUGGAUCUGGGGACAAUAUUAGGCAAGAGAACUCCACCAGUGUGUUACAACCUUUCCUGCAGUGGACACUACUCACUUGAAGUGAAACAGAAAGAUGAGAACAGCCUUGGAACUGAGACUUCUCAGGCUGCUGGCCUGAUGUUAUACUUAAUAGGACGCCGCCAGAAGGCUUUGCAAAUAAGCUUCCCUGGCUGGGAGAAUUCAUUAGAUUAUCACACAGGUGCUUUGGUUAUGUGGCAUCUGCCUCUUCUAUGGACAUCAAAAUGAUCUAGGUCUUAUCCAGCAAGCCUGCACAGGAAAUAGAAAACUGUGAUGGAGAAGGCAUGGGUUGACUUGAAAACUAGGAAAGAAAAUGGAUUCAAAUCUCAGAGAUCCUACAUAAUGUAUAAGUUGGUUAUGGGCCUGGGAGGGACAGGUGAUGGAUGGGCAGCUGGUGUUCUGCCUCUGUACUGUGCACAGAACCUCACCCCUCAUCUUUGUCUCAUUGAACAUGGUGUUAACAUUAGUAUAACCUGGUUGAGUGUAUAGGACAUUAAGAGUUCUGAAGAAAUCAUUUGCACAUCUUCAAAACAGGUGCUAUUUUGCUAUGUCUGUGUUUUAGGUGAAGAAACGAAGCUUUUCAGAGUAAAGGAGUAGCCCAAGUCCAUAUGACAGUAACAGAGUGAGGAUGUAAAUUCAGGUUUUUCCUGGCUGUAUGGGCUGGGUUUGGAAACUCUACCCUUGUCAAGCAGAAGGACUGCCAAGAAAUCCCUAUGAAUUUACAUAGAAAGACUGAAGGACCACCCACGUAAUAAAUAAAUAAAUAGGUGAAAAAUA